AGUGAACGCUGGCGGUAGGCCUAACACAUGCAAGUCGAACGGCAGCACAGGAGAGCUUGCUCUCUGGGUGGCGAGUGGCGGACGGGUGAGGAAUACAUCGGAAUCUACUCUGUCGUGGGGGAUAACGUAGGGAAACUUACGCUAAUACCGCAUACGACCUACGGGUGAAAGCAGGGGACCUUCGGGCCUUGCGCGAUUGAAUGAGCCGAUGUCGGAUUAGCUAGUUGGCGGGGUAAAGGCCCACCAAGGCGACGAUCCGGAGCUGGUCUGAGAGGAUGAUCAGCCACACGGGAACUGAGACACGGUCCCGACGCCUACGGGAGGCAGCAGUGGGGAAUAUGGGACAAUGGGCGCAAGCCUGAUCCAGCCAUACCGCGUGGGUGAAGAAGGCCUUCGGGUUGUAAAGCCCUUUUGUUGGGAAAGAAAUCCAGCUGGCUAAUACCCGGUUGGGAUGACGGUACCCAAAGAAUAAGCACCGGCUAACUUCGUGCCAGCCGCCGCAGUAA
rnacentral:rRNA from 1 species